GACGAACGCUGGCGGCGUGCUUAACACAUGCAAGUCGAACGGAAAGGCCCUGCUUUUGUGGGGUGCUCGAGUGGCGAACGGGUGAGUAACACGUGAGUAACCUGCCCUUGACUUUGGGAUAACUUCAGGAAACUGGGGCUAAUACCGGAUAGGAGCUCCUGCUGCAUGGUGGGGGUUGGAAAGUUUCGGCGGUUGGGGAUGGACUCGCGGCUUAUCAGCUUGUUGGUGGGGUAGUGGCUUACCAAGGCUUUGACGGGUAGCCGGCCUGAGAGGGUGACCGGCCACAUUGGGACUGAGAUACGGACCAGACCCCUACGGGAGGCAGCAGUGGGGAAUAUUGCACAAUGGGCGGAAGCCUGAUGCAGCAACGCCACGUGCGGGAUGACGGCCUUCGGGUUGUAAACCGCUUUCGCCUGUGACGAAGCGUGAGUGACGGUAAUGGGUAAAGAAGCACCGGCUAACUACGUG
rnacentral:rRNA from 1 species